UUGUAGUGUGACAUGCCCGUUUGGGAAUUAUUCAGAUGUAUGUUUAUUUGUUAUUUAAUUGAAUUUGAGUAACGGGGUGUUACAAUACU
rnacentral:pre_miRNA from 1 species